AUGGCGAGAGCAAGCAAGUGGAGGUCUGUGCCCCCGUCUUCCUUUGUUUUACUACUCCCCUUCCUCAUCAACCUUGUGUGCCCCGGCUGGAAAUUCACGGAUGCAGGAGACACGCUCCUUCCUGGGCAAUCUCUAAAUGCUACCCAGAUCCUGCUCUCAAACAAUGGUGUCUUCAAGUUGGGUUUCAACUGCUCAUUCUCGCAAUAUAGUUAUUACCGGUAUUGUGGUUUUGGCACCUGGUUCACUAACUCAUCGUCCCAUGAUGAUUAUUCGCCGGUUUGGCAACCUGAUCAGCUAUCGAUUUAUGUUUGCGAGUCAUCAUCAGUUACCCUAUCAGAGAAAGGAAAACUACAUAUAACCGAUGGAGUUGGCAAUGUCCAUUUGAUCUCAGAUUACGCGAUGACCACUUCUAACUCUGCCAUUGCAGUGCUUCUUGAUAAUGGAAAUCUUGUAUUAAGAGACCAAGCAAACAGUUCCCAGGUGCUUUGGCAGAGUUUUGAUUACCCAACUGGUACACUGCUCCCUGGAAUGCACCUAGGGUCCAGCAUGAUCCUUUAUUCUUAUCUUAGUAAUUAUACUGAGUAUGACGUUUAUAUUGCAAAUUUUACUCUGAGUGUGGAUGCAACAAGAAGGCGAGGUUUUAUUAUUCAGCAGAAUCCUAUUGGUUUAGUGUUUGCUGGUACUUUUCCUAGCUGGAUAGUUCGUGAAGAUGGAGACUCUGUUCUGACACUAAACGACGCACAUACAUACAUGCGUUUAAAUGGCUCUGGAUUUGUUGAAUUUGCUAAGCAAGAGACACGCAGUUCUAUUUUGUGGUCUGCUCCAGACAGUUUAUGCGACUUUGAGUCAAACUGUGGACCUUAUGGUAUCUGCAAAAGGUCAGGCUUCUGCACAUGCCCUGCCGGUUUUGAUCCAUUGAGCACAAAAUCAAGGAAUUGUCUUGGCUGUUCGAGGGAGGUUCCUAUGAAUUGUGGAAGAGACAAUUCAACUCAUCGGCAAGUGGCGUUUUAUCCAAUAGAUGGCGUCUACAAGUUCCCCACGAAUUCUUGGCCCUCUGAUGCCAGAAAUCUGAAAGAGUGUGAAGCCUCCUGCUUAAAGGACUGUACCUGUACUGCCUUUGCUUACAAUGUGACAUGCCUGUUAUGGUUUUGGGAGUUACGGAACACAGUAGUGCUUGACUCUGGUUCAAAUGGCAAUCGUUUGUACAUACGUGUUGCCACCAAACAACAACAUGAAACUUCGGGUUUCAGAGCUGCUCCUCUGUUUCUAACGGCAAUGGCCGCGUUAACCAUCAUUGUUAUUGUCAUUGGUCUGACUGUUUUGUGGAGAUGCAGAACAAAGUUAUUCAGAGCAAGAACUAUGUAUGAAAACGGAAGCCUUGUGGUUUUCUCAUUUGCACAAAUAAAGAACUCAACAAAAAAAUUCUCUGAAAAACUCGGAGAAGGUGGUUUUGGCUGUGUUUUCAUGGGGACAUUGCCAGGUUCUGCCGCAGUGGCCGUCAAAAGGCUAAAAUGCCUUGGACAAGGAGAGAAGCAGUUUCGAGCAGAGGUGCAGACCAUUGGGAUGAUUCAACACAACAAUCUUGUUCGGCUACUUGGAUUCUGUGCUGAUAGCAGUAGCAGGUUAUUGGUGUAUGAGUACAUGGAAAAAGGUUCUUUAAACUCACAUCUCUUCCGUAAGGAUUCUGCAAAACUGAGCUGGAAGCUGCGGUACCAUAUAGCACUUGGAACAGCAAGAGGCCUGGCUUAUCUGCACGAGGAGUGCAAGGAUUGCAUUAUACACUGCGACAUGAAGCCGGACAAUGUACUUCUUGAUGCACAGUUCUGUCCCAAGAUUGCCGACUUUGGUAUGGCGAAGCUUCUUGGUCGAGAUUUCAGUAGGGCCCUGACAACAAUGAGAGGGACCAUCGGAUACCUUGCACCGGAGUGGAUCUCAGGGCUGCCGAUCACACAUAAGGCUGACGUCUACAGCUAUGGAAUGAUGCUUUUUGAAAUCAUAUCAGGGCGAAGAAAUGCGGAGAAAAUUAAAGAAGGGAGCUUUACUUACUUUCCCAUCUUUGCUGCAGUCAAGGUGCAUGAAGGGGAUGUUAUGUGCCUGUUGGAUAGCAGGUUGGAAGGCGAUGCGGAUUUGGAGCAGCUGAGCAGAGCUUGCAGAAUUGCGUGUUGGUGCAUUCAAGAUGCUGAAGAUCAUAGGCCAAUGAUGGGGCAAGUUGUUCAGAUGCUAGAAGGUGUUCUGGAUGUCGAAGUACCUCCCAUUCCAAGGUCACUGCAGAAUUUUGUGGGCAUGGAGGAUUGA
rnacentral:rRNA from 1 species